rnacentral:tRNA from 1 species
ACCUGGGUGGCUCAGUCGGUUAAGUGUCUGACUUCAGCUCAGGUCAUGAUCUUGCAGCUCGUGGGUUCAAGCCCCACAUCAGGCU